CCUACGGGGGGCAGCAGUGGGGAAUAUUGCACAAUGGGGGAAACCCUGAUGCAGCGACGCCGCGUGAGUGAAGAAGUAUUUCGGUACGUAAAGCUCUAUCAGCAGGGAAGAAAAUGACGGUACCUGACUAAGAAGCCCCGGCUAACUACGUGCCAGCAGCCGCGGUAAUACGUAGGGGGCAAGCGUUAUCCGGAUUUACUGGGUGUAAAGGGAGCGUAGACGGCAGCGCAAGUCUGGAGUGAAAUCCCAUGGCUUAACCAUGGAACUGCUUUGGAAUAUGUGCAGCUAGAGUGCAGGAGAGGUAAGCGGAAUUCCUAGUGUAGCGGUGAAAUGCGUAGAUAUUAGGAGGAACACCAGUGGCGAAGGCGGCUUACUGGACUGUAACUGACGUUGAGGCUCGAAAGCGUGGGGAGCAAACAGGAUUAGAUACCCUUGUAGUC
rnacentral:rRNA from 1 species